GCCUAUGGCCACACCCUGUCUCUUAUACACAUCUAGAUGUGUAUAAGAGACAGGCUAAGCAGAGUCGGGCUCGGUUAGUACUUGGAUGGGAGACCGCUUGGGAGUCCCAGGUGCUGUAGGCU
rnacentral:rRNA from 1 species